UGCCUGAGGACUAGAUUGCCUUUGUACCAGCCAAAAUAUAAAUACGCCUUUAAUAGUAACACCUAAUUACCUAACACCAUCAAAAAUGGGGUGCUCCAUGAAGAAGCACAUAAUUCAAAUGCUGCUUUCAUAUACUGUCUUGCUUUGAUUAUGAUAAUUCAUUAAUUAAAAUACAUCAAACAACACCUCAUUCCUGUUGAACUGCUUCAAGGACCAG
rnacentral:lncRNA from 1 species